GUCUACGGACAUACCACCCUGAACGCGCAGAUCUCGUCUUAUCUCGGAAGCUAAGCAGGGUCGGGCCUGGUUAGUACUUGGAUGGGAGAAAAAGUUAGCUGUGAGUC
rnacentral:rRNA from 1 species